rnacentral:rRNA from 1 species
AUGGCUACCCGAGCCAUCGUCCAGAGGGCAUGCGCGAAGCUCAGAUCCGCCAUAAGACUUGAAGCCGUGGUGCAUUUGAACUUUGCCCGUGACCUGCGGGAUAUGUUGGAGGUGCUGGUGGCCAUCCAAACGAUGCUGGAGGAUGCCGAGAUGCAGCUGUUCAGGGAUGGAUCGACGGCGUCUUAUCUGCAGCUUGCGGUGAGCGCCGCCUACAGUACCAUAGACACUGUAGACGAGCUGCAGGACGCGACAACGAUGACAAGGAUGCUGCCCCGCCUUGCCAUCAUGAAGAAUGCAAUGGCCACCCAGGUGCAGGAGACCAAAAAGAUAGUGAUGUGGGUACUGGAAUGUUCGCGUGAGUUAUCAGAAUAUACAGAAGAAAACACAAUAAUGUUCCAUCAAAUUAUUGAGGAACGAAAAACUGGACCAGUUUUUGAGGAAGCAAUGGUUUUGGGAAGAGGGUCAGAUAAAGAGAGGAUAAUAGCCGCACUCCUAUCUACUGAGCCCAACAUCACGCAAGAGAACAUCACCAUCCUUCCCAUCUUUGGGCUUCUAGGCAGUGGCAAGACAACCAUGGCACAAAUGGUUUUUAACGAUACUCACUCCCUCCAAGGCUACGACUUCCGGGUAUGGAUUCAUGUGUCUCCCCAGUUCGACUUCCAUACAAUAGGCAACUCCAUUAUUUCUCACGUAUCAGGAAGGGGACAAGAAGAGAUCAACCAUUCUUCUUCAGACGUGGAGGGCAUGGAAAGUAUGAUGAACCGCCUUCAGAAGCUACUUAGUGGUAAAAAGGUGCUCCUUGUUUUGGAUGACUUGUGGGAGGAGGAUCCCAUUCAGUUGCGGCGGUUGAAGUCCAUGUUAACUUCCUUGGGAGACAAGAUGGACGUACUAGUAACCACAUGCAACCAAGCCAUCGCCAGAAGGAUCUGUACAGUUGAGCCGUACAUGCUAAAUCGGUUGAGUGAUGACACGUGUUGGCAAAUAAUCAAGAAAUCGAUCCGAUUCAAAGUAGGAGAAGAAGAGUUGGAGAAGAUUGGACGGGAGAUCGCAAGCAAGUGCAGGGGUGUGCCAUCAGCAGCUAGAGAUUAUGCAGGGAUGCUAGAUUGUUAUUCCCGAGAUGCUAGAUUAUGGUGGAAAAAAACCAUGGAACUGAAUAUCUGCUUUAGUGUUAUGAACUAUGGUUCAGCAUUUUCGCUAGUCCUUUCAACUUUCGAGCUAAGCUACAAGAGUAUGCCACCAUCUUUGAGGCUAUGCUUUGCUUAUUGUUGUCUAAUCUUCCCAGCCAGCCACAGCAUGGUCAAAGAUGACCUGGUUCAUCACUGGAUCGCUCUUCACCUCAUUGAGCCAUCUGAAAUAUUGUCUGCCACAAAGAUAGCUGAGGAGUAUAUUACCAGGCUUCAAGACUUGUCAUUCCUUCAAACUGCAGAGCUGGACAACGUCAGUGGAAAAGAUGAAAAGGGUGCAAUCUUGUUCACUAUACAUGAUCCGGUGCACGACCUCAUGGUAUGGUUCCUAGGAAAUUCGAGCUACCGUCUAGCCACCAAUCCUCAUGGGAAAAUUGAUGACACGUAUGAUAAGUAUCUAAGGGCACUAUGUUGUGUUGGUUGUAGCAAAGUGGAGUUUAAAGAUGACUCUUUUUCACGCAAGAAGUGCCUACGUGUGCUGGAACUAAAGGAGAGCUCUGUGCAAAAGCUACCACACUCCAUCUGUCAACUGAGGUACCUGGGGUAUCUCAAGAUAUCAGAAUUCACUGGGCUGGUUACUCUGCCAGACUCAUUUGGGCAACUGAAAAAUCUGUUCCAUAUUGACUUAUCAGGCUGCUCCAGGCUUGCAGCUCUUCCGGAAUCAUUUGGAGAUCUCAUAAACUUGAGCCAUGUCAAUCUAUCACGAUGCCAUGGACUGGCAGGGCUUCCAGAACCACUCCAGAAUCUCGGCAAACUGGUACACCUGGAUUUAUCAUUCUGGUCUUGUUUUGAAGAGAUCGGGAAAAACCUUGGUGGCCUCACCACGCUGGAGCAUUUGAACUUAUCAAACCCUUGCUGUCAUCUUGAUCACCGGUCUCAUCUCAAAGGGCUAAAAGGGCUAAAAGAUGGUCUGUGCAAGCUCACCAAACUACGAUAUCUGAACUUGUCAGCGUGUCUGAAUCCUAUCUUUUACUACCACCAGUCACAAGAGGACAGUCUCAAAUACCUUGGAGAGUGUGUCAGAAAUCUUUCUAGCCUAGAACAUUUGGACCUGUCUCAUCACACAUUUCUUUUUGGUCUGCCUGCGAGUCUAGGUGAGCUCAACAAUCUGAAAACACUGAAUCUCUCAGGCUGCAUCAGACUCAAGAUGGUUGGUGAAAUGAAGUCUCUCACAUUUACAAAUCUGAGGAUGUGCCGUGGCCUAGAGAGUUGCCAGUUUGUGGUUCGCAUCAUCGAUGAUGAUGAUGUGUAUAGCAGCAGCAACAUUGUUCAGCUGGAGGUGGUAAAUUGCCAAGAGCUCCAGAUAAGCUGCCUUGAAAAUGUCAGGUCUAGAGUGGAAGCACAGAGAAUCAAAAUGGCGGAGAAACAGAAGAUUAAAAAGUUGAAGCUUUCUUGGACUUUGGACUCUCUCAGAUCAGUGGAGGACAGUGCUUUGUUGGGAGAAUUACUGCCACCACCUAAUCUGCAGUGCCUUGAGGUUAAUGGUUACGCCGGAACAUGCCUCCCGGAGUACUUGGGUGAGCUCACCUCUCUCCAGGAACUCAAGAUCGUCUGCUGCAAGCACCUCAACUCGUUACCGGAUAGAAUGCAGAAACUCACCAGCCUCAAGGAUCUGUGUAUUUUUGACUGUCCAGAAUUGGAGAAGUGGUGUCAGCUAGAGGAGAACAAGAAAAUGCUGGCGCACAUCCCCAACAAAAAUUAUGAGGAACCUGCUAGUACUAGCAGGCAGGAGAUUGAGGAGGACGACAGAUCGGGCGACGAGGUGGAGGCGGUGUAG